GGGUUGUGAGGUUAAGCGACUAAGCGUACACGGUGGAUGCCCUGGCAGUCAGAGGCGAUGAAGGACGUGCGAAUCUGCGAUAAGCGCGGGUAAGGUGAUAUGAACCGUUAUAGCCGGCGAUUUCCGAAUGGGGAAACCCAGUGUGA
rnacentral:rRNA from 1 species